CCUACGGGUGGCAGCAGUGAGGAAUAUUGGUCAAUGGACGAGAGUCUGAACCAGCCAAGUAGCGUGAAGGAUGACUGCCCUAUGGGUUGUAAACUUCUUUUAUAAAGGAAUAAAACGAGGCACGUGUGCCUUUUUGUAUGUACUUUAUGAAUAAGGAUCGGCUAACUCCGUGCCAGCAGCCGCGGUAAUACGGAGGAUCCGAGCGUUAUCCGGAUUUAUUGGGUUUAAAGGGAGCGUAGAUGGGUUGUUAAGUCAGUUGUGAAAGUUUGCGGCUCAACCGUAAAAUUGCAAUUGAUACUGGCAGUCUUGAGUACAGUUGAGGGAAGCGGAAUUCGUGGUGUAGCGGUGAAAUGCUUAGAUAUCACGAAGAACCCCGAUUGCGAAGGCAGCUUACUAAACUGUGACUGACAUUGAUGCUCGAAAGUGUGGGUAUCAAACAGGAUUAGAUACCCUUGUAGUC
rnacentral:rRNA from 1 species